rnacentral:lncRNA from 1 species
CCUACAUUAUUCAUCAUUCAGUACUGCGAGAUAGGCCAUCCGUCUCCACACCCUAGAAAUUCUUGGAUAGGCUUUCGUCUUUUUUCCGACUUGCGUUUUCUUUCGCACCCCUUCUCUCUCUGUUUCCUUCUUUCGUUCUUGUACUCUUCAGUGUCUGGCAGAGCGAGUGUUUUUCUCCAUGGAAACCGACAUAACAGUCUGCCUAAGCCAAACUCCAGCUCUACAAACAGAACCAAAUCAAAUCUAUCAUCCAGUCCUGUUAUUCCAUGCACUCUCUCUCUCUCUCCCUCUGUUUUUCACUCUCGUUCAGCUCAGCCAGCUCCGAAGGAUACAGUUCCGAACACAGACGUCAUUCCCAAACUCCUGGGGAUCGUUAAUAUUUGUAUGAUGAGGUUGCACAUGAAACGAGAGCGUGCGCAAGAAAUAUAAGGAAUAUAAAAGAUGAAAUCAUUGACGCCACGCGAUGGUGUUAAAUUCACUUCGAAUGGUGCGGUUAACCUUCCUGAAUGCUAACACAAAUUUGAGCGUGCAAUCAACCAGAAAACUGGCCUUUCUGUUUCAAACCCACUUUAUUGACAAAACCCCCCAAAAAUGGAUACUUGUCUUGGUUACAUAAGCGUUUAGUCCAUAGAUGGAAAAGAUGACAGAUGCCUAGAGGUGCUACGUUUCCAAAGGCUUUCCCAAUGAUACACAUUGUUCCUUCUGGAUUUGAAAGUUGCAUUUUGAAGUUGAAGUUAAAAAAGCCUAAUCUUGGAACUUAUUAAUAUUUAACAGAAUGUGUCGACUAGUGCUUGUGGCUAAAAUCAAUCCAUAGACUACGAGGUGAUAGGUCACGCACCGUUAAGACGCUUAAAAACACCAAUACGGCCAAUUGACUCACUGGCCUCUUCAUAUUAACUUCCGCAUGCUAAGAGCUUUGCAAGCAUGUGUGUGAGAUUUCUAACUGCCGUAUUACUGAUCCAAGUCCACACAUUACAAAACAACAUUUCGCAAAUAGUGUUGCUUUUCCUGCCACAAAUCAUGCUCUGUGCCAUUGUGUUUUGUCUGUGGCGAUGUUACUAUGUGUUUAAAGAUACAAAAUAGAGAGGAAUACAUUUAGUUCACUUCCUAACUCUUUGUUUCAACAGGAAACGUAUGGAAAUGAUAGACAAGACAGUAUCAUUAAUGCAGCUACUCGUUAUGAAUCAGAAGCGCUUCUCAAAGCAACACAAUCACAACUUUUCAAUGACAGAAAGGCUUACUGCAACAUAAACUGCCAUUCACAAUCAUGCAUAGGGAAAGCAUUUGGGGGGGCUUUAAGCUUUGCAUAAUUUUUCCACAUUGACUCAAGAGUGCGUUCCUUGGCUUGGCUGAGGCUUCCGCUUUUAUAUUUCCUCAGUCAGCCUGCGAUGCAGUUUGUGCUCAGUAACUGCAACUGCUACAGCAAGAACUAGUCAUAUUUUUGAAUGUUUAGCAGUGAGCUCAUUGGCUACAGAUACAGGAGAGAACCAAUCAGCUGUGCCAUGUGAUAAUGAUGUCAUUAGGUCAGACUGAGUUAGAGUUUCAUCUAGAGUUUCAUGCCAGAACUCUGUAUUUCAAUAAAAAAUAGUAGCCACAGUGUCAAUGGUGUUUCAGAGUAGAGGAACAGAACUAAUUAAUAUAUUAUACUCUCCUCGUUUUCUGCCUUCAGCACACACACUGGCUUGGCUAUUUCAAGCAUUCAAACAUAUGCAUUUUCAACUGCAGGGUUGCAUUCUAACAACCUUGUUCGACAGGAUGUUUUGGUCUCUGUGGUGUGUGUUUUGGUAACACAGAGUCUGCACAGCCUCAUCCAGUUACCACAACACCUUUGUCUUCUUCACACAGGCAUGGGCCAACAUGCUUAGGCUUUGCUCAAAUUUUUUUGGAGUCAAAUCUGUUUUGUUGUUUUAAGUCUGAACAGCAACAAAAAGUGUUAUCAUUAACUAAGAUUAAACUAUUAAAAAAUAAUUUUCAGUAUUGAAAUAUUACAUUAAAAACUUAAAAAUCUUAAAUUAAAAUUAGAAGUUUGUCAGCUAAAUUAAAUAAAUAAGUUAAAGUUGAUGUAAUAAAGUUAAACUAAAACUUAAAUAAAAAUUAAUUAAAGCUGAAAUGUUAUAAAACAAAAACAAAUAAAAAAUAACAAAACUGAAAAUAUAAAAAUAAAAAAUAAAUAACUCUCUCUCUAUUUAUAAAAUGUUAUACAAUUCUGUUCAAACCCAUGAAAUCUGUUGACAGAGCAUGAAAUCAGUUUCAGACCCCGAAUGUUUACAAACCUAGUAGAAAAAUCACAUUCAUAUGUAGUUUGAAAUCUGAUUUUCAGUGUAAAUCAUUUCCAGUGUAUACUGAGCACAUAGAACAAACAGAUCAAAUUUGAUCACUUCCAAUAUGAGCAAAAAGUCAGCGCUAAAGAUCAGAUUUGUAACCCAAAUCUCAUUUAUGUUCAGUGUGAACAAAGACCUAGAGUCUAACCCAACAAAUGCAAACACAUGAGCACACUGCUGCUGAAGUCAACCAGCCAAAGCUGUGCCCUACAUGACCACAUGCUAUAGUGCAAGAGAUUGCCUGGGCCCUGAUGGCAUAUAUCUUAAUCUCUCGAGGCACUGGCUGGAGCGGUUCUCGUGCCAGCAGUUCUCUGAACAGCAGUUGGGCAGCUGUGAGCUAUUUUAGGGGGAGAGCAUUUUAGGGGGAGGAUUUGCACCAGGUUUCAACCAUAAACAAUGAGCUCAUUCUUUUGCAUCUGCUCCCAAAGACAGCACUCAUUCAGCUAGAGGUCUACGAACCAAGGCCAUUCUCAAUUGUAAUGCUUUGUUUUGAUAUUAUACAUGAUUUAACACCUUUCAAUCAUACGUCAGCAGUGGAAUAAUGAUUUGAUGUGCGUAAAAUUUCCCUGCUAUGUAAAACUUUUUUUUUUUGUGCAGUCCUGUUUUUAUUUUUCCAUCCAUUCACUUACAUCACAUUAAACAUUCUUCUGGGAAAAUUGGCUUGACAUCAGCAGAAUAGGGAAACACAUAUCAACACCCAAUAUGGCAGCAAGAGAAACAUCAAGCCAUUUUGUGUGAGCCAUUUCCUGUUUAAAGUGGGAUGUGAAAGGAUAAGAGCCUGUAAAGCUUUCCUGAUGGGUUCUUUACUCUUUAAAAGAGUCGUCUCUUAUUUUUUUUUUUUUUACAAGUUCUCUCUCGGUAAACAGCAUUUCAAUUAACUUGGCCUUCACUUUAAAUGGGAUGUUUUCCGACUUUGCUAUUUUAAUACUGGAAACAAACUGGAGUUACGUGGCAAGGAAAAACAGCCAACAGUUUAGAUAAGGAGGAAUACUGACCCAAAUUGACAUUUUGGGUUAGUAUUCAACAAGCACAUUUCCACAAAAGCAAAAUAUAUUUCAAAUAUACAUUUCAAAAUAUAGCACAGCUUAAUGAAUUAUUACUAUUAUUAUAUAUUUUUAAAUUAUUAUAUUUUAUAUAUAUAUAAUAUAUAUAAUUAAUAAAUAUUAUAAAAUUUAAUUUGACAUGUUUCUAUUCUAUUAUCAUUUACUCACAAUUUCUAAAAGAUAAAUAUGGGUGUCCCAUCAAGAUAUGGACUUCAUGGGUCCAAUCUGACUGUAAACUAUUGUAAAGUUACAUUCAAUAAAUAAUUAUGGAAUGUGCAUUUGGAUUUCAUUUUACUUAAUUUGUGUC